AUCAUGGUGGAAGGCAAAGGGGAAACUGGCUCAUCUGAUGUGGCCAGAGCAGAAGAGAGCAAGAGCUAAGCGGGCGGUGCUACAGGCUUUUAAACAACCAGAUGGCUUGAGAACUAUCAUGAGAACAGGAAGGGAAUAUAUCUGAAAUCAUGCUGCCUCUCACUAACUGAGCCACAACCACCAUUGUCUCCGGAAUUGAUGGGUUCUUGGUCUCACUGACUUCAAGAAUGAAGCCGCAGACCCUCGCAGUGAGUGUUACAGCUCUUAAGGUGGCGCGUCUGGAGUUUGUUCCUUCUGAUGUUUGGUUGUGUUCAGAGUUUCUUCCUUCUGGUGGGUUCGUGGUCUCGCUGGCUCAGGAGUGAAGCUGCAGACC
rnacentral:lncRNA from 10 species